GCCAUGCCGCGUGCAGGAAGACGGCCCUCUGGGUUGUAAACUGCUUUUAUUCGGGAAUAAACCACAUUACGAGUAGUGUGCUGAAUGUACCGAAGGAAUAAGGAUCGGCUAACUCCGUGCCAGCAGCCGCGGUAAUACGGAGGAUCCAAGCGUUAUCCGGAUUUAUUGGGUUUAAAGGGUGCGUAGGCGGCUUAUUAAGUCAGGGGUGAAAGACGGUGGCUCAACCAUCGCAGUGCCCUUGAUACUGAUGAGCUUGAAUGGACUAGAGGUAGGCGGAAUGUGACAAGUAGCGGUGAAAUGCAUAGAUAUGUCACAGAACACCGAUUGCGAAGGCAGCUUACUAUGGUUUUAUUGACGCUGAGGCACGAAAGCGUGGGGAUCAAACAGGAUUAGAUACCCUGGUAGUCCACGCCCUAAACGAUGAAUACUCGCUGUUAGCGAUAUACAGUUAGCGGCUAAGCGAAAGCGUUAAGUAUUCCACCUGGGGAGUACGCCCGCAAGGGUGAAACUC
rnacentral:rRNA from 1 species